CUACGGGUUGCAGCAGUGGGGAAUAUUGGACAAUGGGGGAAACCCUGAUCCAGCAAUGCCGCGUGUGUGAAGAAGGCCUGCGGGUUGUAAAGCACUUUCGGUUGGGAGGACUGCUUCUAGCACUAAUAUUGUUGGAAGUUGACGUUACCUUCAGAAGAAGCACCGGCUAACUCCGUGCCAGCAGCCGCGGUAAUACGGAGGGUGCAAGCGUUAAUCGGAAUUACUGGGCGUAAAGCGCGCGUAGGCGGCUAGAUCAGUCGGGUGUGAAAGCCCCGGGCUUAACCUGGGAACUGCAUCCGAUACUGUCUAGCUGGAGUACAGGAGAGGAGAGUGGAAUUCCACAUGUAGCGGUGAAAUGCGUAGAUAUGUGGAGGAACACCAAUGGCGAAGGCAGCUCUCUGGCCCGAUACUGACGCUGAGGUGCGAAAGCGUGGGAGCAAACAGGAUUAGAUACCCUCGUAGUC
rnacentral:rRNA from 1 species